rnacentral:rRNA from 1 species
UGAGUAACGCGUGGAUAAUCUACCCUUAAGAUGGGGAUAACGGCUGGAAACGGUCGCCAAUACCGAAUACGCUCCCGAUUUUAUCAUUGGGGGGAAAGAUGGCCUCUGCUUGCAAGCUAUCGCUUAAGGAUGAGUCCGCGUCCCAUUAGCUAGUUGGCGGGGUAACGGCCCACCAAGGCAACGAUGGGUAGCCGGUCUGAGAGGAUGACCGGCCACACUGGAACUGGGACACGGUCCAG